UACGUAGGGUGCGAGCGUUGCCCGGAUUUAUUGGGCGUAAAGGGCGCGUAGGCGGUGAGAUGCGUCCGUUGUGAAAUCGCCCGGCUCAACUGGGCGGGGUCAGCGGAUACGGUCUCACUCGAGCAAGCUAGGGGGCAAUGGAAUUCCCGGUGUAGUGGUGGAAUGCGUAGAUAUCGGGAGGAACACCAGUGGCGAAGGCGGGUCUCUGGGCCGUAACUGACGCUGAGGAGCGAAAGCGUGGGGAGCGAACGAGG
rnacentral:rRNA from 1 species